rnacentral:rRNA from 1 species
AGCGGCGGACGGGUGAGUAACACGUGGGUAACCUACCUAUAAGACUGGGAUAACUUCGGGAAACCGGAGCUAAUACCGGAUAAUAUUCGAACCGCAUGGUUCGAUAGUGAAAGAUGGUUUUGCUAUCACUUAUAGAUGGACCCGCGCCGUAUUAGCUAGUUGGUAAGGUAACGGCUUACCAAGGCGACGAUACGUAGCCGACCUGAGAGGGUGAUCGGCCACACUGGAACUGAGACACGGUCCAGACUCCUACGGGAGGCAGCAGGC